GGAUUAGAUACCCUGGUAGUCCACGCCGUAAACGAUGCUAACUCGUUUUUGGGCCUUCGGGUUCAGAGACUAAGCGAAAGUGAUAAGUUAGCCACCUGGGGAGUACGUUCGCAAGAAUGAAACUCAAAGGAAUUGACGGGGGCCCGCACAAGCGGUGGAUUAUGUGGUUUAAUUCGAUGAUACGCGAGGAACCUUACCAAGGCUUAAAUGGGAAUUGACAGGCGCAGAAAUGUGCUUUUCUUCGGACAAUUUUCAAGGUGCUGCAUGGUUGUCGUCAGCUCGUGCCG
rnacentral:rRNA from 1 species